rnacentral:rRNA from 1 species
UACGAAGGGGGCUAGCGUUGUUCGGAAUUACUGGGCGUAAAGCGCACGUAGGCGGACAUUUAAGUCAGGGGUGAAAGCCCGGAGCUCAACUCCGGAACUGCCUUUAAAAACUGCAUCGCUUGAAUCCAGGAGAGGUGAGUGGAAUUCCGAGUGUAGAGGUGAAAUUCGUAGAUAUUCGGAAGAACACCAGUGGCGAAGGCGGCUCACUGGACUGGUAUUGACGCUGAGGUGCGAAAGCGUGGGGAGCAAACAGG